GUUGCUGGUGGAGAGAAGCUGGUUCUGGUUUUUAGUUCAAGCUCUGAUGCAUCGUCCAACCCAGCAGGGUAGUUUAAGAACCAGAAAAGAAAUGCAUCACUGUUUACUUCUGGGCUGUAGUUUCUUUAUCUACAUAAUGGAGAUAAAAAUACCAUUUACUCUGACCCAGAUACAUCUCUCUUUCUUUUUAAAAGCAGCUGAAAGCAUAAGUGACUUCUGGAUCGAUCAUCUUUCCUGGAUGCUUUCUACUGCCUGACAUCUGGGGCUUGUUAUCUCGUCUGCGAACUGAGAGCCUUAGGACGAGACUUAAUUCAGCCCUGAGUAGGGGUUAGCAACGUGCAAAGAAGAGAAGCUGUGUUAUGUGUAUUAAACCCUGACGAGUGGAAGAGGAGACUCUGCCUAGAGAUCCCUUUCCUGAGAUGCUUUUGCAGAAGUGUGGCUACAGCCUAAAUCCAAGAAGAGAAAAUGACGAAACCGGGACUCCAGUGAACUCUACAGCCUUAAUGCUGCAUCCUGAGUGGGGCAUCCAGGCUCCAGAUGGCAGGGACCCACCGACACUGCUACUGUUAGGACCUGUUAGCAAAGGGCGACUUGCUGCAUCUGUCUCUCCCGAGUCCGGUACAGUCCUGGUUUCAUCACGGUGGUUGACUCACCCCUUGUCAAGCCCUGGAUUCUUCAAGCUAUACCCUCACACACACAAAAAAAGCAUUUGAAAUAUUUUGUUCAAAAGGAAUUUAAUGACAAUUUGAUGUUCCUAAGAAACUCCAAUUCUGGUAUUGAAAAAAACCUAUAUACUCCAAAUGUCAAGAAAUAAA
rnacentral:lncRNA from 1 species